UGAGGAAUAUUGGUCAAUGGGCGGAAGCCUGAACCAGCCAAGUCGCGUGAGGGAAGACGGUCCUAUGGAUUGUAAACCUCUUUUGUCGGGGAGCAAAGCCGUUCUCGUGAGAGCGGAAGGAGAGUACCCGAAGAAAAAGCAUCGGCUAACUCCGUGCCAGCAGCCGCGGUAAUACGGGAGGAUGCGAGCGCUUAUCCGGAUUUAUUGGGUUUAAAGGGUGCGUAGGCGGAACCCUUAAGUCGGCGGUAAAAUGUCGGUGCUCAAACACCGGCCCCGCCGUUGAAACUGAGGUUCUUGAGUGAGCGAGAAGUAUGCGGAAUGCGUGGUGUAGCGGUGAAAUGCAUAGAUAUCACGCAGAACUCCGAUUGCGAAGGCAGCAUACCGGCGCUCAACUGACGCUGAGGCACGAAAGCGUGGGGAUCGAACAGGAUUAGAUACC
rnacentral:rRNA from 1 species